GGUAAUGAUGGCAGAGAGGUCACACCCGUUCCCAUACCGAACACGGAAGUUAAGCUCUCUAGCGCCGAUGGUAGUUGGGACCUUNAUUAUUCCGCAGUAGCUCAGCGGUAGAGCUAUCGGCUGUUAACC
rnacentral:rRNA from 1 species